GGUCUUCCUUGGUGAGCGGUUUUGGCGUGUUUUGUGAAAUUGAAGACGCAGCGGGAUUAGAGCGGGAAAUCUUGCAGGUUAGGAGAAUCAGGGCGGUGAUCGUGCGGGUUAGAGUAAUUGUUAUAGUUUUAUAGUGAUUGUAAUAGUGAGGUGAGUGAUGCUCAAUUUGAGCUUUACAUAUUUACUUUGUAUAAGUGAGUUGUAAUAAUUAAUUUGAGAUUUGAAAUUUGAUUGACUUGUGUUCUAGUUGAUUUUUCAUGUC